rnacentral:lncRNA from 1 species
UUAUCAUCAUUCACCUGGUAAGGGGGAGAUAUUAAUUAUUUUGACAAGCAGCAGGGAAAUGCCAUGAAUAUGUGAACUGAUGAAAACAAAAGCAAUGAUACUUCCAAGGAUGCACCUGACAGCUCUUAAGGGAUCUAGAGAAAUGAGAGAAUUACAGAGAAGAUUUCAAGUGUUUUACUAAUAAACUCAGGUACUGAAUUUAAAGGAAUGCCCGUGGCUUCUACCCUAGAAGAUCUUAAGAGUCUGAAUGGAGGAAGAAAAGCUAAAAAGUAAUGAUAGUGGCAUGUGAGGAAGGUAUAUAAUAGAGGAAGCCAUGUAAACACUAAAGUGCCUCUAUUCCUGUGAAAUAUUCAGAAGAUUAUAUUUGGUUUGUGUCUGAAAGCCCUGUGGCUGUGUGUCACCAAAAAUGGUGUAAAAGGUGGUAGUGCAUCCCGGACAGAGGGGAUAGCAUGGACAAAGACUCCAAGUCAUUAGACUUUUAGUUUGUUGGAAGAACUGGAAGGAAUUUAGUAGGCCCAAGUCAUAGUCGGUGCUUGCCGGUCAACACACCUGCUUUUUCCUUCCUGAAAUUCUCAUGCAAGCUAAUCUCAUCAGCCAAAUUGUUCAACUCCAGAGGUCUAGAGACCUGCUACUCCUACAAAUCCUCCUUUAAAAAUUAUUUUAACUGAUGAAUAAUAGUGUAUAUUUAUGGGGUACAAUGUGAUAUUUUCAUAGAAAUAUACAAUGUGGAAUGACUAAAUCAAGUGAAUUCACAUAUCCAUUACCUAAUUUAUUUACAUGGUGGCACAUUUAAAAUUUACUCUUAGCAAUUUUGAAAUAUACAAUUCAUUAUAAACUAUACUCACCAUGCUGUGUAAAAGAUAUCAAAGACUUAUUCCUCCUGUCUAACUGAAACUUUGUAUCCUUUGAUCACCAUCUCCCCAGUCUUCCAUUUACUCUCUCCCUGACCCUCUGGUAGCCACCAUUCAAUUACUACUUCUAUGAGUUUGACAUUUUUAGAUGUUUGUCUUUCUGUGCCUGGUUUAUUUCACUUAGCAUAAUGUUCUUUGGGUUCUUCCAUGUUGUUGCAAAUGGCAGGAUUUCCUUUAAGGCUGAAUAGUAUUUCAUUUUGUAUAUACUAUUAAUAUAUGCCACAUUUUCUUUAUCCAUUCACCUAUUGAUACACACUUAGGUUGAUAUUGGCUAUUGCAAAUAAUAUCCCAAUGAACAUGGAGGUACAGAUAUCGCUUUGAUUUAUUAAUUUUAAUUUUUUGAUACAUAUCCAGAACUGGGAUUGUUGGAUCAAAUGGUAAUUUAUUUUUAGUUUUUUGAUGAACCUCCAUACUGCUUUCCAUAAUGUACUAAUUUACAUUCCCACCAAUAGUACCAGGGUUCUCUUUUCUCCACAUACUCACUAACACUUGUUAUCGUUUGUAUUUUGAUAAUAGGUAUUCUAAUAGGUGUGAGGUGUAUCUCGUUGUGGUUUUAAUUUGCAUUUCCCUGAUGAGUAGUAACAUGGAGCAUUUUUUCAUGGACCUGUUGGCCAUUUGUAUAUAUUCUUUUGAGCAAUGUCUAUUCAAGUCCUUUGCCCUUUUAAAAAUUUGAUUAUUUGUCUUAUUUGCUAUUCAAUUGUUUGAGUUCCUUAUGUAUUUUGGAUAUUAACCCCUUAUCAGAUAUAUAUGGUUCGCAAAUAUCUUCUCUCACUCUCUGAUUAUUCACCUUUUUAAUUGCUUCCUCUGCUGUGCAGAAGACUUUUAGUUUCAUAUAUUCCCAUUAAUCUAUUUUUGCUUUUGUUACCUGUGCUUUUAACAUCAUAUCCAAAAUAUAAUUGCUCAGAUCAAUGUUGUAGAACUUUCCCCUAUGAUUUCUUCUAGCAGUUUUACAGUUUCAGGUCUUAUAUUUAAGUUUUUAAAUAUAUUCAAGGUUUUACAUAUAUUCACCGCAAUCAAGUGAGAUUAACCCCUGGGAUUAAACCCAUUUUCAGUUGAUUUUUAUGUAUUGUAUGAAAUAUGAACCUAAUUUCACUCUUUUGCAUAUAGAUACACAGUUUUCUCAACUGGAUCCAGUUUUCUCAUUAAUUGGAGUCUGUCCUUUCCCUAUUAUGUAUUCUUGGAACUUUUAUAAAAAAAUCAAUUGUCAUAAAUGCAUGGGUUUAUUUUUGUACUGUCUAUCCUGUUCCAUUGGUUGAUGUGUCUAUUUUUAUGCAGUACCAUGCUGUUUUAAUUACUGCAACUUUGUAGAAUAUUUUGAUGUCAGGUAAGUAUGAUGCCUCAAGCUUUGUUUUGAUUUGUUUUUUGCUCAAGACUGCUUUGGAUAUUAAGGGUCUUUUGUGGUUCUAUAUGGAUAUUAGAAUUUUUUUUCUAUUUCCAUGAAAAUAAUUACAUUUUAAUAAGGAUUGCAUUGAAUCUGUACAUUGCUUUGGGUAGUAGGGACAUUUUAAUAAUAUUAACUCUUUAAUUCAUGAACACAUGAUAUUUUCCCACUUAUUGGUAUUUUCUUCACUUUCUUUCAUAAGUGUUUUAUUGUUUCUAGUACACAGAUCUUUACCUUCUUGGUUAAAUUUGCACCUAAGUAUUUUUGUUGUUACUGUUGCUGUUGUAAAUGAAAUUGUUUUCUUGAUUUCUUUCUCAGAUAGUUCAUUGUUAUUGUAUAGAUACGCAACUGAUUUUUGUACGUUGAUUUUGUAUCCUGCAACUUUACUGAGUUUGUUUAUUACUUCUAACUGUUUUGGGGUACAGUCUUUAGGAUUUUGUAUAUAUAUAAGUUUAUGUCAGCAAGCAGCGGCAACUUCACUUCUUCCUUUCUUAUUAGGAUCCCCUUUAUUUAUUUUUAUCAUGCUUAAUUCUCUG